rnacentral:rRNA from 1 species
CCUACGAGAGGCAGCAGUGGGGAAUAUUGGGCAAUGGGCGCAAGCCUGACCCAGCAACGCCGCGUGAAGGAAGAAGGCUUGCGGGUUGUAAACUUCUUUUCUCAGGGACGAAGAAAGUGACGGUACCUGAGGAAUAAGCCACGGCUAACUCCGUGCCAGCAGCCGCGGUAAUACGGAGGAUGCGAGCGUUAUCCGGAUUUAUUGGGUUUAAAGGGUGCGCAGGCGGAAGAUCAAGUCAGCGGUAAAAUGGAGAGGCUCAACCUCUUCGAGCCUUUGAAACUGGUUUUCUUGAGUGAGCGAGAAGUAUGCGGAAUGCGUGGUGUAGCGGUGAAAUGCAUAGAUUUCACGCAGAACUCCGAUUGCGAAGGCAGCAUACCGGCGCUCAACUGACGCUCAUGCACGAAAGUGUGGGUAUCGAACAGGAUUAGAUACCCGAGUAGUC